rnacentral:rRNA from 1 species
GAUGAACGCUGGCGGCGUGCCUAAUACAUGCAAGUCGAGCGAACGGACGAGAAGCUUGCUUCUCUGAUGUUAGCGGCGGACGGGUGAGUAACACGUGGAUAACCUACCUAUAAGACUGGGAUAACUUCGGGAAACCGUAGCUAAUACCGGAUAAUAUUUUGAACCGCAUGGUUCAAAAGUGAAAGACGGUCUUGCUGUCACUUAUAGAUGGAUCCGCGCUGCAUUAGCUAGUUGGUAAGGUAACGGCUUACCAAGGCACGAUGCAUAGCCGACCUGAGAGGGUGAUCGGCCACACUGGAACUGAGACACGGUCCAGACUCCUACGGGAGGCAGCAGUAGGGAAUCUUCCGCAAUGGGCGAAAGCCUGACGGAGCAACGACGCGUGAGUGAUGAAGGUCUUCGGAUCGUAAAACUCUGUUAUUAGGGAAGAACAUAUGUGUAAGUAACUGUGCACAUCUUGACGGUACCUAAUCAGAAAGCCACGGCUAACUACGUG